UGGACUCGGAGAGAAAUUGUAGUUAACUAAACAUACCCCAUGGUCAUGAUCUAAAGAAGUUUUCAGGUAUUAACAAGCUCUAAGCUGUCUAAACUAAUAUUCAUUCAAUAGACUUACUUAUUCUAAGAUUCCUAUUAUCAGAACUCGUAGAGAGAUGAUGAAUCAGUUUCCUAAAUUUCUUUCAAGGAAAUUCAAAAGAUUCAAAUUAAAAGAUCAAGUCAAGCAAUUAGGCAA